rnacentral:lncRNA from 1 species
GAACCUAUAGAAUGAAUGGCCAUGAAUGAAUCAAUGGCCUGGGCAUUAUAUUCAGUAGACUAGAUCUCAGAAAGGAAAAAGGAGCAGCAUAAAAUACAGCCUUGGUCCAACAUUUUGACCACAGAGCAAAGUUAAAGAGGACCAGAGGAAACAUCUCCUUCAGUGGUGGAAGUAGUUUCCGCAGACAAAAGAUAGCCAAAAGUAUGGCAUGCUGGGGACAUGAGAGACAUUUUAAAGGUCUCUGAGACUUGAUCAAUGACCACUUUCUUGGAGAGCCCCACAUGGUGUAAUUUAUGCAAAUCCUGUGAAGUGGAGUCAUCUAUCUGCUCAGACAUGCAGAAAUCUUUCAGGAGAAGGGUGAGAGAUUUUUGGAAGAAAAGAAGUACAGUGGCCAGGAAAGGAAUUACCUUAAGAAGGUAAUAUGUUGAUGGGAGGAGCAGAUGCCCUGGAGUAAAACUGUUUUCCAGAAGUUUCUUGUCCUAGUGUCCAACUGGAUAAUGAUGAGCAAUCCUUGAACUCCAUCAUGUGCCUCAUGGAAUAGAGUGUAUUGUAAAAAUGCAGCUCAGCAAACGUCUCUCUUCAAAAAGUGGCUUUAAAACCUAGGACAUAUUUAGCCUACUCAGGGAAAAGAAACAAAAUAAAGCAUUCUAUAGCAGCCUUAUGACCCAUUGCUAAAGGAACCCAAAUCCACCAGCACAAGACACAGGAGUCAUUAUGAGGCAAACAGCAGUUAACCUGUGAGCUCUGAAGUCCUCCAGAGGCUGUGUGUGCGCAGUUGCCAUGGGCUGUGGAUGACCCAGGGUGUUGUGUGCCUGUUCAUUGCUCAACCUCUCAUCCUACAUCUCAUCAGUAAUGGAAUAAGUAGAGGGUCAGAACUAGAGGUGGUGGAGUGAACGCCGCACCAGGCAAUGGAAGAAGCACUGGCCUAGACCAAGCUUGAGCGUGCACCACUGUCACCUGGAGGGCUUGUUCCAACACGGAUGGCUGGACUCACCCCCAGAAUUUCAGAUUUAUUAGGUCUGCACUGGGCCCUGAGAAUGUUUAUUUAAAACAAAUUCCUGGAUGCUACUGGUUCAGUUGCCACACUCUGAGACCCGCUGGCUUUGAGCUUAGAAGAUGUGGGUUUGAUUCCUGGAUUCCACAGUUUACUAGCUGUGAGUUAGAGAAUUUAAAUUACUUACCUGAGUCUUGGUUUCUUAUUUGCAAACUGAACUGUAAACUAUUUGUUCUACCCAUUUUAUAAGACUUUUGUAAGGAUAAAAUAAAAGAAUACAUAUGCAAAUUACUGAAAAACCUGUCACUGUUGUUAUUACUAGUAUUAUUGUGAAAGAAGCUGUAGAUUUAUGUCAGCCCCAGACAGGAGUUGACAGAACCUUCGAGUUGCACAAGGCCUGCUGGAGCACUUCAGAGAAUUCCAAAUGAAUCUUGAUUGCAUUGUGGAAUGUACAGCACUGGGGCCCUGGGGACCAGCAUGGAAUGUGAGUAAAGACAAGAUAGGUUCUAUCAUCCUCCAGACCUGCAGAUGUGUGUUCAAAUCCUGACUCCAUGGGGCUUGACUCUAUCCCAUCUGGAAAAAUGGAAAUAAAAGUGCCUACCUUACUGGUUUAUUGUGAGGACUAUUUGAGAUAAUGUAUUUAAAGAACUAGCACAGUGCACGGCACAUAGUGGGCACUCACUAAAUAUUAGCUCUUAAUAUAGUUAUGAAAACUAAACCCAAUGGGGAGAAAAUGCAAGGCCAUCUUGGUAAUACAACUGUAUGUAUUAUGAGGUAGCCAGGUCUCUCAGCCCAAAAGACCAUAUUCCAGGGCCAGGCAUGGUGGCUCACGCCUGUAAUCCCAGCACUUUGGGAGGCUGAGCUGGGUGGAUGACUUCAGGCCAGGAGUUCGAGACUAGCCUGGCCAAAAUGGCAAAACCCCCAUCUUUACUAAAAAUGCAAAAAUUAGCUGGGUAUGGUGGCACACACCUGUGGUCCCAGCUACUCAGGAGGCUGAGGCAUGAUAAUUACUGGAACCUGGGAGGUGAAGGUUGCAGUAAGCUGAGAUUUUGCCACUGCACUCUAGCCUGGGUGACAGAGCAAGAAAAAAAAAAAAAGACCAUAUUCCAGUGCUGCUGCUCUGAGAGAGCAGGAGCAGUUAGACUCACUGACCUCCCACGUUGCUUCCAAAUGAGAUUUUAAUGUCAGCACAAAGCAAACGCAUCUAGUCAGUUGCCAGCAACCAGGGCUGUUUUCCCCAGACUUCCCUUAUGACUGACAGCUACACCAUUCAUUUCUUUGCUAUGACCUACCUUG